rnacentral:lncRNA from 1 species
UUCUAUUCACAUUUCUAUUUCACUUCAGUAUUCAGUAUGUGAGUUUUCCCCCAUUUUGCCCUAACCCGCUCAACACUCGCCAGAUCUGAUCUCGAUCACUUCUCAGCCUCUUGCCUUCUCGAUCGACUCUCGAGUCUCAAUCUCUGGCGCGACCUCCACCUCUCCGGCUCUCCCCGUCUCAGUCUCCGGCGCGGCCUCCGCCUCUCGUCUCGACCCUCACUGAAUCACUGGUCACUGUCGGUCUCUUCGCGCCUCUCGUCGUCGCCGACUCGCCGUCUCACUGAGUCACUGUCUUUCUAAAUCUAAGUCUCUAAGACUCUAAGAACUUGGUAUGUUCUCGACUUACCCUGAUGGCAUAAUUUUGGUGGUGCUUUUUUCCUUCUAUGGUUUUUGUCUGCACGUUUGUUGUGAUUUUUGAGUGGAAGAAUGAAAUGAGUAAAGAAAAGUUUACAAAAUUCACGUUUUUGUCUGCAUUUUUUGUGAAAUGAGUAAAGAAAGCCAUUAUUUUUUAAUUCACGUUUGUUGUGAUACUUGUAGCCAUGUUUGUUGUGAUUUUAAUUCACGUUUGUUGUGAGUAAAAUGAUUUGUUUUUACAAAAUGUCUGCAUUUUAAGCCAUCUGAAGUUCUGAACUGACUGUAAAAUCUAAACUGCAUUUUGGUUGUUGACUUAUUGGUUGGUUGGUUGCCAUCUGAGUAUCUGAGUUUUGGUGGUUGGUUGACUUGUUUUGUAUUGGUGAUUUGGUGUAUUGGUGAUUUGGUGUUAUGCUAUGAGUAUGAACUAUGAAGCACAAUUUAUUGCAGAAAGCUAGAGUCUUUACAUGUUAGGGGUCUAUCCUUAUAAACAACUAUUUUCCAGAUACAUAUUAUAUACAUAUAAAUAAACCAAUUUUGAGAGCUACAGUCUUUGCAUGUCAGGGGUUUUAUCUGUUCCAUGUGGCUGUUGAUUUGAUUGUCAAAUUGCAAAGAUGCUGUGGAGAUAUUGUUGGUUUCUUUUACUUUCACUUGGUUAGAUUCAAAAUUUGAUAUCAUGAACUGGUGAAGGUUAAUUAAUUAUUUGAUAUCUCAAGUUACAGUCAUGUAUUUCCUUGAACUAGUUUGUCCAUUUAAGUUAUUAAGCUUGUUUUCACUAUAUAUUUUUUACUCUGUGACAAAACUAGAUUACUCUGUGACCCAUCUCAAGUUACAGUCAUGUAUUUCCUUGAACUAGUUUGUCCAUUUAAGUUAUUAAGCUUGUUUUCACUAUAUAUUUUUUACUCUGUGACAAAACUAGAUUACUCUGUGACCCAUCUCAAGUUACAGUCAUUGAUUUGAUUUUAGAAGCCAUUAGAAAGGUAUGUAAGUUGAUUUGCUAUUAGCUGAACUGAAAUAGUCAUAAUAACAGUUUUUGGUAUGUUUAAGCCUUUUUGUGGCUGUCAAUGCCAGCAGGAAGAGUUGAGAGAAGGAAAUGUUUCUAGAAAGAAAUCAUUUUUGGUUUUCCUUUUUGAAUUGGAUUUUUGAUAGUGAUAUUGUCUUGUUUUGUUAUAGGUAACUGCUCCUAUGAGCUUCAAAUUGCUUACCUUUAUUUCUAUUCUAUAUAGAUCCAUGUGAAGUUACGUGUAGUGAACGUGGAAUGCCGCUUUCAAUAGUUUGUUUACUUUGCUUAUACAUGUAUAUAUUGCUAUACUAAUUUGUUUGCCCAUUGUCGUGCUCUGCCUUGGGCUGACAAUUUUAUUUUAGUUAGUUCUAUGCAGGUCUCCUGUUACUGCAAUACUACUUAUGAUGCAAUUUCUUUUUUCUUCAGGUUUAUGUCAGUAAAACUGGGCAAGAGUUGACUGGUCAAGUUGCUUACAGAUGUUACACAAUUUACCUGUUACAGGUUUACAGGUUUGCCUGUUGCUGUUGGCUCAUGGCUGUGGAUGUCGCUGACUUCUUGUUGCAUGUUGUUGUACUGUUGGCUCUUGAAUCUUGGUUGUUGGCUCUUGCACAAGCACAACUGCUGAGUAGUUAUUGCCUGCUAGUAGAAUAAAUUCUUGUAGAUGUAGCCAUGUAGGGUGCUAGGCUGCUAGCUGCUUUGUUCAAGUCAUAAACUUUGUUAAGGUUUUAAGGAUAAUUACUUUGUUGGCUUGUUUUAAGUUAUUUUGCUGCUGGAUAGUUACUUUGUUGGACAGUUAAGUUAACAGUUAAUUUGUUGGACAGUUAUGAGUUAACACUUAACAGUUAAUUUAUGUUGGAUGUUGGUUCGGUUUUUACUCGAAUACCAAAAAUUACAAUUCGGUAAUUCGAUUAUUUUCAAAUUUCGGUUAGUUGUUCGGAUAGUAGAAAUAUUAAUAAUUCGGUUUUCGGUUAUAAACGAAUAACUUAUUCGGUUCGGUUAUAACCGAAUGAUCACUCCUAGGCAAGCUUCUCC